AACGCGAAGAACCUUACCCAGGCUUGACAUGCACCGGACAGGCACUAGAAAUAGAGCCCUCCCUUCGGGGCCGGUGCACAGGUGCUGCAUGGCUGUCGUCAGCUCGUGCCGUGAGGUGUUUGGUUAAGUCCAGCAACGAGCGCAACCCUUAUCAUUAGUUGCCAGCGCGUUAUGGCGGGAACUCUAGUGAGACUGCCCGGGUUAACCGGGAGGAAGGUGAGGAUGACGUCAAGUCCGCAUGGCCCUUAUGUCUGGGGCUACACACGUGCUACAAUGGCCGGUACAAAAGGCAGCGAAACCGCAAGGCGUAGCAAAUCCCAAAAGCCGGCCCCAGUUCAGAUUGUAGUCUGCAACUCGACUACAUGAAGACGGAAUUGCUAGUAAUGGCAGGUCAGCAACACUGCCGUGAAUACGUUCCCGGGCCUUGUACACACCGCGUGUCU
rnacentral:rRNA from 1 species